rnacentral:rRNA from 1 species
GGGCGGCGCCCCGCACUCCCGGGGCGUCUCCAGCUCACUGCGAGCGGAGGCGCACCUAGAGCGUACACGUUGGGACCCGAAAGAUGGUGAACUAUGCCUGGCCAGGACGAAGCCAGGGGAAACCCUGGUGGAGGUCCGUAGCGAUUCUGACGUGCAAAUCGAUCGUUAGAGCUGGGUAUAGGGGCGAAAGACCAAUCGAACCAUCUAGUAGCUGGUUCCCUCCGAAGUUUCCCUCAGGAUAGCUGGCACUCUCGUGUGACGAGUCUCAUCUGGUAAAGCGAAUGAUUAGAGGCCUUGGGGUCGAAACGACCUCAACCUAUUCUCAAACUUUAAAUAGAUGAGAACCCUGGCUUGCUUAAGGGUGAAGCCAGGGCUCGGAUCCGAGGGCCAAGUGGGCCAAUUUUGGUAAGCAGAACUGGCGCCUGUGG